GUUGAGAUGAAGGCUGGAUAGUUCUUCUGGCAUUUGUCAACCUAAAUAAAGAGCAGGGCGAAGAGAGACCAGCACGUGGAGCACCAACAGCUAGAAACAACCACCGAGACGCAGGAACCUCCCAGGUUCCUAGAGUAGCCCUGGAAAUGACGCUGGGGGAGGUAAACCCCUGUCCGUUCGUGCGACCCCAGAGGCUAUAGUGUUCGCGGUCUUGUUUUUCUGGAAGUGGGCCUCCGCGAUCUCGGGAACCAACACCCCGAAUCCGGCGCCCAAGCAGGGAGGCCAGCUGCUUUAGGCGGCUCCAGAAAGGCCAGGCUUCGGAGCCUCUAACCUGAUGAAGGUGGGACUUCGGCAAAGUCGAGAAACCUAAGUCUGGGAAGAGUUGGUAUACCCAUGGCCCACGUUCUUGCUCAGAAGAAGCAGACUGCAAAAUUCUGGAGGUGACAAAGGGAAGAUGAAGGCACAUAAACACCUGCUCCUCCCCUCCAGACCCCAAAGCAAUUUCGGCGAGUUUUGGAAGGGAAUGAAGGUGACAACUGUGCUAGGACUCAUCUGGCCUGGGAGCAGAUGGCGCAGGCCUGGAUGUCGCUACCGGAGAAGGUCCAUCGGGAAGCAGCCUGGCCUCGCGGGCGGUAAUAAGUCACUGUUUAUGGGUGUGGUUGUGAGGGAGGGACACAUGCGGGGAGAGAUUCAGGUUCUCGAGCGACUGGUGCUGAGGAGGUCGCCUGCUCUGGAUAAUAGUACCUUGUGGAAAACCGUUACCCGGAAGGCAGAAGUGUUGUGACUGUGGUGGACAAUGUGGAGGAGAGAGAAUUUCCAGGCAGCAGGAUUAUAAACAAAUUCACGCUGAGAAAUAGCCUGGUGACCUUAGCUAAAGUACAUAGUAAGAGCAGACGAGAUUCCUGGAGGAGCAGCAGCUAUUAUGCAUCAUAAUGAUGAAAGCCACAGAAUAAAGAGCAAGAAGGUAGAAGGAGCCUGAGAACUUCAUGACAUUCUUGGACAGUGGUGCCAACCUUGGAUGAUUUACCUCAGGAUUUUUGGUUAAAUAACAUAUAUUAACUCCUUUCUGUUUAACCCACUGGAGUUGAAUUUUCUGUUGCAGUGAGUACCAUCCUAACUGAUUAUCCUGGCUAAUAUGUAUUAGCACCUAUCAUGGGCCAGUGUAGUUCUAAGCACUUUAUGUACUAACUUUUUAAAUCCUCACAACGACCUUAUGAGAUAGGCCUAAGGUUCUCAAAGUGAGCCAGCAGCAUUAGCAUCACCUGGAACUUUGUUAGGAAUACAGAUUUAGGGUCCGGCUCCACACCUCCUGAAUCAGAAACUCUGGGAGUGGGGGCCCAGUAAUCUGUUUUAAGAAACCCUGCAGGCGAUUCUGAUACAUGCUAAAGUUUGACAGCUUUAUCUGUAGGUGAGGUAUUGUUGCUAUCCCUAUUUUACAUGUAAGGUAGACUGAGCUGAGUCUUGAGUCGCUUGCCCAAUGUUACACAACUAGUAAGACUAACUCCUAAAGCUGUCUGUAAAGUCAUGCCACAUGUUAAGAACGCCUACUCUAGAGCAGCAGUCUUCAAAAUUUGAAAGCGUACUCCUUUGAAAAAUUAUGUACCCCCUUGCACAUUUUUAGAUCGAUAUCUAAAAAUUUCACAUAAGUUCAAACAGUUGUAAAGAAUUAUUUCCAGUACAUUGUAAAUUGUGACAUUUUAAAAUGUGUUCAUCACUCUUCUAAAUGAAUCUAAAUACCAUAGUGAUUAUUUUGUAAAUGGACCGUCCAUUUAAAAAAGUAAAUUUUCUUUAACAUUUGAAAUUUUAUGUCCUUCUCUUGAACUCGUAUUUUCAUUCCCCUACCAACAAAAAUACAUCCUAUUGUAACACGCCUGUUUUGAUCUACCCUGUUGUUCUUCUCUGCAGCAAAAAGUACGAACAUUGAACUUAAUUUUUAAAAAAUUUCCAGUGAUCAUAUAGCUUUAAGAGUUAUAAGUAUACAAUCAAAUAAUUGUGACUGUAUUAUAUAUUUUGAUAAGUUAGUAGACAUACAAACUAAAAUCGAAUUGGAAAUCCAUCUCUUAAUGAGAUGGAUGGGACUUAAGAUUUUCCAAUUGAUUCAUGUAUCCAUGGAUGAAUGUUCCUUGUUGCAAGAAUGAGACAAGUUCAACAUCAAUUUUAUGUCUGUUUUUCAUUAUAGAUAUGAGAGAUUAUAUUCACAUAAAAAAGAGGAAUUAGGGCCAGCUCCACUGGUGCUCUGCUUUGGCGGCCUGGGUUUGGUUCCUAGGGACAGACCUACACUGCUCUGUUAGGAGCCAUGCUGUGCUGGUGGCCCACAUACUAAAAAAUAGAAGAAGAUUGGCAUGGAUGUUAGCACAGGGCAAAUCUUCCUCAGAAAAAAAAAAGAAAAGAAAAAUAAAGGAGUUUUGAAAUAGGAAUGCAAUUCUAAUUUUUCUAACUCCUGUAUUAACGCCAAAAUCACAUUAUAUAUCAUUAAAAAAAAGUUUUGUUAAUCUAUUACUGACAACUGGGUUAGAACCUCUUUCACUUUUGUGUAAAGCAAAUGUAAUAAACAGAAGCCACCUGGGUUGCAUAAGAUUUUGUUACCCAGUCAUUUAAGCCAUUCACUUUAUCACUGACAUCUUAUUUUAGGGUCCUGUUGUCAGAUGCUUCAAGGAGGUUUUGCAUCUUGGGGCAAGAUGAACGAUAAGAUAUGGGAUGGUUGAGAGUUAUCUCCUUUUUCCUUAAUGAGAAAAGAGUUGUGACAAAAGAGGAGGUGGGAAAGCAGAAAGUUUACUGGCAGAUCAGCCACAAGUGAGUCCCUGUGGAAGUGCAAGAUCAGGAAAUGGAUUCCCUUGAAACUGUCUGUAUUCUCAGGGAUACGCAUACCCCAGUUUGAAAACUAAAGGAUACUAAGAGAUAGCUCUUAGAAUCACCACUGUCAUGUCCUAUGUCAACUUAAACAAACAGAUUACCUUAGUUUCAGUUUCUCACUCAGGAAGUAGGUAUAAGAAUGUGGAACUAAGCUGCAAAUCCCAAAUUGUUGGUGCUCGCAGUGUCAAUAUACGUGCCUGAGAGACAUGUAUUUGAUGCCUUGGGUCAUCUUUAACCUUUUCUUCACGUAUUUUCAGAUAAAUACUCAAUUAUCCUGGAUACUUCCUAAAUUCAGUAGAAAACUUGUCCUGGUAGCAAUAGUCACAGCCAAGUUCUCGAGUUUCGAAAGAUGAACCUCUAUGCUGCUUUGGGACUAUUUGGCCGCAAUCCCAGAAUGGUGUUUCUGUGUACACAGCACUGGGGAAGUGAAGUUAGAAUCACAGGUAUUGAGCCUGUUUCUUCUCUGCCUUCACAUCCUCCUGUAGCAUUUUCUGUGUCUGGACUAAGUUGCUUUCCUUCUCUCAUCCAUAACUAUACUGAUCCAUUUCUCUUUUUCUUUUUUUCUUGUGGAAAGAACACUUAACAUGAGAUGUAUCCUCUUAACAAAUGUUUAAAUGUACAAUACUUUAUUGUUGACUGGAGGUACAAUGUUGGACAACAGAUCUCUAGAACUUCUUCUUCUUCUUUUUUUUUUUGAGGAAGAUUAGCCCUGAGCUAACAUCUGCCACCAAUCCUCCUCUUUUCUGCUGAGGAAGGCUGGCCCUGAGCUAACAUCCGUGCCCAUCUUCCUCUGCUUUAUAUGUGGGAUGCCUAGCACAGCAUGGCUUGCCACUUGGUGCCAUGUCUGCACCUGGGAUCUGAACCAGUGAACCCAGGGCUGCCAAAGCAGAACGUGCGCACUUAACCGCUGCGCCACCAGGCCAGCCCCCUAUUCAUCUUCUUUGACUAAAACUAUCCCUAUUGAUUAAUAACUCCCCAUUUCCCCCUCCCCCAACCCCUGACAACCACCAUUUCAUUCUUUAAUUCUAUGAAUUUGACUAUAUUAGAUAUCUCAAAUAAGUGGAAUCAUGCAAUAUUUGUCCUUCUGUAACUGGCUUAUUUCACUUAGCAUAAUAUCCUCAAAGUUCAUUCAUAUAGUCGAAUAUUGCAGAAUUUCAUAUUUUAAAGGAUGAAUAAUAUUACAUUGUAUGUAUAUACUACAUUUUCUUUAUCCAGUUGAUGAACUAUAGGCUGUAUCUACAUCUUGGCUAUUGUAAUGGUGUUGUAAUGAACGUGGGAAUGCUGUCUCUACCAGAUCCUGAUUUCAUUUCUUUUGGGAAAAUCUCUACAAGUGGAAUUGCUAGAAUACAGUAGUUCUAUUUUUAAUUUUUUGAGGACCCUCCAUACUGUUUUCCAUAGCAGUUGCACCAUGUCAUUCCUGCCAACAGGGUGCGAGGGUUCCAUUUCUCCACACCUCACCAUCACUUGUGGGGUUUUUUGGGUAAUAGCCCUCCUAACAGGUAUGAGGUGACAUCUUGUUGUGGUUUUGAUUUGCAUUCCCCUGAUGGUUAGUGAUAUUGAGUAUCUUUUCAUACACCUGUGUACCAUUUAUAUGUCUUCCUUGGAGAAAUAUUUAUUCAAUUCUUUAGCCUAUUUUCUUCUCUUUUUGCUGAGGAAGAUUUGCCCUGAGCUAACAACAUCUGUUGCCAAUCUUCCUCUAUUUUGUGUCUGAGCUGCUGCCACAGCAUGACCACUGACAGAUGAGUGGUACAGGUUUCCACCUGGGAACUGAACCUGGGCCACCAAAGUAGGAUAUGCCAAACUUAACCAGUAGGCCACUGGGGUUGGCAUUUUAGCCCACUUUUUAAUGGGGCUAUUAGAUUUUUUGUUUUUUGCUGUUGAGUUGUAGGAGUUGCCUUAUAUAUUUUGAGAAUUAACCCCUUAUCAGAUAUACGCUUUGCAAAUAUUUUCUCUCGUUCCAUGGGUUGCCUUUUCAUUCUGUUGUUUCCUUUACCGUGCUUUUUCAUUUGAUGUAGUCACACUUGUCUGUUUUUGCUAUUGUUGCCUGUGCUUUCGGUGUCACAUCCAUGAAAUCAUUGCCAAGACCAAUAUCAUCAGGCUUUCUUCCUGUGUUUUCUUCUAGCGGUUUUACACUUUCAGAUCUUACAUUUGAGUCUUUAGUAUAUUUUGAUUGUUUUUAAUGUAUGAUGUAAGAUAAGGGUCCAAUUUUAUUCUUUUACAUGUGGAUAUCCAGUUUUCCCAUCACCAGUUAUUGAAGUGAUUAUUCUUUCUCCAUUGUGUAUUCUUGGCAUCCUUGUGGAAGACCAGUUGACCGUAGAUGUGUGGGUUUAUUUCUGGGUUCUCCACUCUGUUUCAUCGGUCUGUAUGUUUUUAUGCCAGUACUAUACUCGUUUGAUUACUGUAGCUCUGUAAUAUAUUUUGAAAUCAGGAAGGGUGAUGCCCCUGGCUUUGUUCUUUUUCAAGAUUGAUUGACUAUUUGGAGUCCUUUGUGCUGCCAUAAGAAUUUUAGAAUAUUUUUUUCUAUUUCUGUAAAAGAUGCCAUUGGGAUUUUGAUAGGGAUUACAUUGAAUCUGUAGAUUUCUUUGGUGUGGACAUUUUAACAGUGUUAAGACUUCUACUCAAUGAAAACAGAAAGUCUUUCUCUUUGUGACUUCUUUAAUUUGUUUAACCAGUGUUUUAUAGUUUUUAUUGUACAAGUGUUUUAUCUCCUUAGUUAAAUUUAUUCCUAAGUAUUUUAUUCUUUUGUGUGUGUGUGUGUGUGAAAAAGACUGGCCCUGAGCUGACAUCUGUGGUCAGUCUUCCUCUUUUUGCUUGAGGGAUAGUGGCCCUGAGCUAACAUCUGUGCCAGUCCUCCUCUAUUUUGUAUGUGUGAUGCCACCACAGCAUGGGUUUGGUGGGUGGUGUGUGGGUCUGGGCCUGGGAUCCAAACCUAUGAACCCUGGGCCACCGAAGAGGAGCGUGAGCUUAACCCCUACACCACUGGGCCAGCCCCAUUUUAUUCUUUUUUGUACUGUUGUAAAUGGGAUUGUUCUCCAAAUUUCCUUUUUGGAUAGUUCAUUGCUAGUUUAUAGAGGCACAACUGAUUUUUGUUGGCUGAUUUUUUUAUCCUGCAAUUUUACUGAAUUCAUUUAUCAGUUCUAAUAGUUUUUUUAUGGAGUCUUAAGUUUUCUCUGUGUAAGUCAUGUCAUCACAUCUGUAAACAGGAACAAUUUUACCUUUUUUUUUUUUUCUGGUUUGAAUGCCUUUCUUUUCUUUUUCUUGCCUGAGUCCUCUGACUGGGACUUCCAGUACUAUGUUGAAUAGAAGUGGAGAGAAUGGGCAUCCUUGCCUUGUUCCUGAUCUUAAAGGAAAAGCUUCCAAUUAUUCACCAUUGAGAAUGGUGUUAGCUGUGGGCUCACAUGUGGUCUUUAUUAUGUUCAGGUACAUUCCUUCUAUACCUUGUUUGUUGAGAGUUUUUAUCCUGAAAACUCUCAAAUGCUUUUUCUACACCUAUUAAGAUGAUCAUGUGAUUUUUUUUUUUGAAGAUUGACGCCUGAGCUAACAUCUGUUGCCAAUAUUCUUCUUUUGUAUUUUUUCUUUUUUGUCUCCCCAAAGCGCCCCCAGUACAUGGUUGUAUAUUCUGGUCAUAGGUCCUUCUGGCUAUGCUGUGUGGGACACUGCCUCAGCAUGGCCUGACGAGCAGUACCAUGUCUGCGCCCAGGAUCCAAACUGGCGAAACUGUGGGCCACCGAAGAGGAGUGUGCAAACUUAACCACUUGGCCAUGGGGCCGGCCCCAUGAUCAUGUGAUUUUUAUCAUUUAUUCUAUUAAUAUGGUGUAUUAAAUUAAUUGAACAGUCGUUGAGAGUUAUUGAUGAUGAUGUAUAUCCUUGUACCCCUGGGAUAAAUCCUGCUUGGUCAUAGUAUAUUAUGCUUUUAAUAUGCUGUAGGAUUCAAUUUGCUAGCAUUUUGUUGAGGAUUUUUGCAUAUAUUUUCAUCAAGGAUAUUGGCCUAUAGUUUUAUUUUGGUGUCUUUGUGUGGCUUUGGUAUCAGGCCUUAUAAAAUGGCCUUAUAAAAUGAGUUUGGGAGUGUUCUGUCCUCUUCAGUUUUUUGGAAGGGUAUGCAAGGGAUUGGUGUUAAUUCUUUAUGGCUUACCAAGCAGUGCCAUGUCUGCACCUAGGAUCUGAACUGGUGAACCCCGGGCCGCUGAAGUGGAACGUGUGCACCUAACCACUGCGCCACCAGGCCAGCCCCAUCUUUUUAUUGACAAUAGAAAAUAGAAGACAAUGUGUAGGGCUGUUACCGAACUACAGUGGGUCCGCUUCUUAUGAGUUGAAAUCAAAGCCUUCACCAGAAGUACUGGUCACACAAAGUAAUAUUUAUUUGCAGCAAAUAGAAACCAUUGGGAAUCAUUUCCAAAGCCAAGCAAGGGAAAGCAGGGGCCAUUUAGGUCAGAUGAGGAAUGAAUAUUCAAAAGAGGGAGGUGGAUAUUCGCUUGUGCAGGGUCAGUUGGAAAACAUGCUUCCACAUACUUCACAUGUUAUGGUAAUAAGGCCUAAGCUCCUCCUGGGGCAGAGAUCUUAACAUUGAAAUGAAGCAAAGGUCAUCUCUUGAGCAUUUCUCAGCCUGUCUGGGCAGGCAUAGCUCUUGUGGUGGAGUUUGACCUGUUCAGAGAGGUUGGUGAUUGCAUCUCUUAACAUAACUAAAAAAACAAUUUGGAGAAACGGUUAAGUGCUUCUGAAACCUCCUUUGAGUUGCUUGGGGCAAUUCGUUGGUGAAAGGACCUGUUGCAUAAUUUGUGAGGCCCAGUGCAAAAUGAAAAUGUGAACCUCUAGUUCAAAAUUUAUUAACAACAUGGAGACAAUGACAGGAGAGCAUUACACCAAGUGGAAGUCUCUUCUGAUGGCAGGACCCUGUGCAACUGCCCAAGUCGCAUGCCCAGGAAGUCAGCUGGGACAAUGUGUUGUAGGGUAAUAGUAAAAAUUUAUGUGGGCAACUCACACUUUAGUCUCUGGGUCCUGUUAAACUCUUUGAAACAUAGAGAUUGUCCUCCCCAGAAUCAUCAGUAUCAUUAAUUUCUUAGGAGCCUUCUGCCUUUGCAAAUCCCCGUGUUUUGGAUCUGUCUGAGUUUUAAAAUCUCAGCCAAGCCAUAUGGAUACCAUCCUAUCAGAAGAGACAAAACUGAGCCUAAAACCAAGCAGAAAGAGUGAGCGCAAUGAAGAGGACUCUCCAUGCAUAACUGGAGAUUUCAGCCACCCACAUUUAUUCCAAGUGCAGUGUCGCAUUUUCUGGAAAGAACUGACUUCUUCCCCUUGUUCUGUUUCUAGAGCCCAGGACCAUGGGUGUGUUUCAUGGCAGAGAAAAGUGAAGAGGAGAAUUGUUUGUGUGUUUGAAGGAGAAACAGAUCAGCAGCCUUUUGUUUUGGCUCCUAAAACCAGCAUGUCCGUCAAAGGAACACACUGAGCUCGGUGCAGGCUACACAGACGGGAAUUGUAGUUGGACCCUGAUGCCUUGAACUAAAAGGGAUAGAGGACAGUGCAAAAUGAAAAGAGGACUUUGGACCUCCCAGACUGCUAUGGGAAGGAAGAAGGCUAAGAAGACUACUUGGCCGCAA
rnacentral:lncRNA from 1 species